GUCUCAUUUGUAUUGUUUAAAAGUUUUGUACUUCAAAGUUCCACGAAACAUUUUAUACUUCAUGGGAAAAAUUAUUGCAGAUGCAUCUGGAAAGCAAAAUAUUACACUAUGAAUGUAUCUACCAUAUUGAUGAUGCACCAUAUUGGCAUCAACCUGAUGUGAUUUGAAUAUUGUAUUUCAAGCCUUCACAAAUACCUGUGAGAGUAUUUAUUUUUGGAUUAUGAUAUAAACUACGAAAUAAAGAAUCCGUAACCCUUAGAUUGUUUCUUGUGUGUUUACUGCCCCGAAACAAGACUACAUGUUUGGCGCCCAACGUAGUAUUUCGUCACUGAUCAAAUCAGCUGAUGUCACUUGUGUUUUACCUGUGUGCGCGUCAUCGAUAAUUCUACGUCACAGACCUACUUACGUAUAUUGACCAGUAACAUUUAGUUAGCUUCCGGUGUCAACAAUCAGCACGUUCAGAAAUUGGAUCCAUGUGGAUAUCAACUUGGAUUGUGAAUUCAUUAAUGGAAAUUGUCUACCAGUAUUUGACGAGAGAGGGCCAAGGUUCCUCACUAGAACAUUAGGACCGGUUCUUAUUAAAAAGGUGUGACAUUCCAGCUAGAUCUACAUUGUAUACCUUAUAAUGAGAGAAAACACCAGAAACUAUUUCCUGAGGAACAUGUAUAAACUAGUGAAUUGAUGGUUUAACUACCAAGAUGUAAUGAGAGAUGUACAACUUGAGGUGUCAGGAUUUGUGCAAUUGUUAUUUGCAGAUAUAUAGCUGGAUUUUGUCAAAAUGUGAACUGUAACACUGGGAUCAAAUAUGUUAUUUUUUCUAAAAAAUGAUGAAAUUGAGAAUUAAAUUUUUAUAUCUA